GAGAGGAAAGCGGUGUCAUUCAAAGAUCCCGGACUGCUUCUCGCGCUUCUUGGCAACUGCAGUUUAUGUAACCG
rnacentral:lncRNA from 1 species